GAAAUGUUAUAGGAUCUUGCAUCAGGUCCAGCUUUUGAUCACUUGGAAAAUGCUCUACAUAAGUUUGAUGAUGGGCCAUUUUUCCUUGGGCAAUUCAGUUUGUUUAUGGCUUGCUAAUUGGAACAAUACCCUAUCAUCUGGAGCUACUCAUGCUGUUCUAAGGUUUGUAGUUGGAAUUCCACUUUACAAACAACGUAAAUAUUUUGGACUCAGAAAUUAUUCAAGGUAUUACCAUUGUGGUGAUUACUUACUUAACUUAUGCUCAAUGUAUUCUGUUAUGCAUGG